AAACCAUCAAGCGCAGCUUGGCCUUGGACCCGGGGUCUUGUUACCCCUGUCCAAAACUCCAGGUGGCGUUCCCGUCGAGCCUUAAGCGUAGCAAGAAUUACUCCCUCGCUUUGAAGGCUUUUUGGCCGGAGCAGCCCCUCAAGUCACCCUAAA
rnacentral:misc_RNA from 1 species